GAGAACAGCCAGUGGGAGGACAGAGCAGCAGUGGAGCCUCCUUUAUUUUCAUUCACUUCCUCAGUCCGCUGCACUGACGGCAACUCACUGCGCAGCCUAUCUUAUGAAUGACAGACUGAUUGUGAAGUUGCAAAAGGGCAAAAUCAGAUCUCAUGCAGUCACAGCUACAUGCAGAAGAGGAGAGCAUUCCAGAGGGCUCCCGGAUCAUCUUCUCUGGGGAUCAUGGGAUUUCUUCUGGUGAACACAUACUAACAUCUCCAGAGAUGACGCAUGAAGUGGUGGUCAUCUCCCCCGGUCUUCCCACCCCUCCCAUCAGCCCUUAUCACUCCGCAAGGUUCCCAUCAGGGGAGUAUAAGGAGUCAAAAGUAAAUGGAAGUGGUUCAACGACUCUCAGCUUUGGAUCAUACUACGGUCCUUCAAAACAAAUGGUAAGUAGCGCAUAAAAAUAUAUUGUCUCACAAUAUUUGAAUUAAAUAAUCUAUUGAUG
rnacentral:lncRNA from 1 species